rnacentral:rRNA from 1 species
GACCUCGGAUCAGGUAGGGAUACCCGCUGAACUUAAGCAUAUCAAUAAGCGGAGGAAAAGAAACCAACA